UACGGAGGAUCCGAGCGUUAUCCGGAAUUAUUGGGUUUAAAGGGUGCGUAGGUGGAUUGGUAAGUCAGUGGUGAAAGUUUGCAGUUUAACUGUAAAAUUGCCGUUGAAACUGCCGGUCUUGAGUGCAAAUGAGGUAGGCGGAAUGCGUCGUGUAGCGGUGAAAUGCUUAGAUAUGACGCAGAACUCCGAUUGCGAAGGCAGCUUACUGGGAUGCAACUGACGCUGAGGCACGAAAGCGUGGGUAUCAAACAGGAUUAGAUACCCGCGUA
rnacentral:rRNA from 1 species